CAGCCCCUCCGACUCCCGGCCCUCGGCCCAAAGCCAACACUCUCGGGCCGACCCAGCCCCGCCGGCCAGGACAGAGAGACCGCCGUUCGGACCGCCCGCGAUGCGGACCCUCCAGAGGUCCCCGUGUCCUUGAGUUUCCCUCGCGGGGCCCCCGGGGCGCCUCUACUGAGUCAGGGCCGCGGGCCGGACACUGGGCCCCGCUGGCCCGGCCGCGGAAGCAGAACGAGCCGCCGGAGCUCCGGGCCCAAGAACACGGCGGGGGACGGCCGCGCUCGGACCCCAGACAGGCCGACCGGCCGGGACACACAGACGGACAGUCGGGCCCGAGGGGCGGGGGCAGCGGCCGGGCCGGUCCUGGCGCCUCCUUCUCACCCGGGGCGGCCCCUGGCGGCCCAGCCCCUCAGGGCGCGGGCUUUCCGGGAGAGCGGAGGCGGCCGCCGAGGCGCUUACCUGCGGGCGCAGCGACGACGCGGAGCGGCUCACUCCCUGCCCGCCGCCAUGUUUCCGCUGCGCAGCGAGCUAGGGAGGACGCGCGGAGGGGGCGGGCGGGGGCGGCUCCGGAGAGCAGCGGCUGCCGGCCGGCCGGCGGGCUGGCGCGCGGCUGGGGGCUCGACCGAGGCGGCGGCGGCGUUGGCUGAGGCGGGGGCGGGGCGCAGGCUUCCCGGCCCCGCCCCCCGGGCCUCAGGCCGCAGGGUGGCGAGCGCCUCGGCAGUUGGGCCCGCGCGGGGGGGGCGGUGCCGGGAGGGCGCCGCCGUGCGGCCAGGCCGCGCUAGCCUCCGCUGCCUCCCGCCUCCUGCCUUCGACCCCGGGGCCCAGACCCGCGUCCCCACCGGCCCUAUGCGCUGCUUCUCACGGACAUAGAAAGAGAAAGGCCUUCCUGAUGGAGCAUGUGCAAAGGGACUGAAGGACCCCCAGUGAAGUGGCUAGAAGAUUUUUCAGAACUAUACUAUCCCACAAGUCUGUCUACCGACUUCACAAGGAAGGUCCUUCAUGAGGUUCGUCUCAGCUCCUGUGAUGGACAAACUCUUGAAGAGGUCACCCACCAUCCUGCUGGCAUUCAUGACUUCAUGUAAUUCCCUCCCCUUGAGUGUGGGCAGGGCCGGCGACUUGCUUCUAACCGACAGAAUAUGGCGAGGGUGAUCAGACUGAUGGCAGGCAUGUUAUUACAUAAGUGAUUACAUAGUUACAUGACAAAAUUAUAGCACCCAUCUUGCUGGAGCCUCUCUCAUACUCACUCCCUGGAUGGCUCUGAAGAAGCAAGCUGCCAUGUUGGGGGAUGCCUAUUUUGGGGGACCCAUGUGACAAAGGAACUGCAGGCAGCUCUAGGAGCUGAGGGGGCAACCUCCAACUGACAGCCAGUAAGAACGUGACAGUCCUACAACUACAAGGAACUGAACUCUGCCAACAACCUGAGUGAGCGUGGAAACAGAUCCUUCCCCAGGUGAGCCUCACAUGAGGCUGCAGCCCUGGCCAGCACCUUGACUGCAGUGUCGUGGGACUCUAGACAGAGGACUCAGCUGAGCUGGGCUUGGAUUCCUGACCCAUAGAACCUGUGGGGUAAUAAAUAUGUGUUGUUUUAAGCCUGUAAGUUUGUGGUAGUUUACUGCACAGCAGUAGAUACAGUUCCCCAUCCUAACACUUGAAACUCCUGACCCCAGGUCCUGGGCUCUAGUCACAACUCCAGGCCACCUGUCUGCGAAUAAUC
ensembl:lncRNA